rnacentral:lncRNA from 1 species
CGUUGGGGGGGGGGGGGGGGGGGGGCUGGCCGAGGAUGCUGAAACUGCAGAUCAGCUUGGAGCCGGGAGGGCAACGGCGGCAAACAGACCGGACCUGAGGCUCUCAGAUACCCCAGCAGGCACGGCUGUGGCACCUGCUUCCCUCUUACUCAGACUUCAACUGUUCCCUCUGCUCAAACUUGUGGCUGUCGUGUSCUUGGGAGCAGUGCCCACCGCAGGGGCGAAGUCAGGAACUGGAAGGUGUUUCAGGUAGCUCACCAAACACACUGAAGUCCUCCAGACAGAUGACAUUGAGGAGGGAAGGAUAAUGRGAGGAAAAAUGAGAAGCAAGAGGUGAGGAUUAUCACAUCCUCUGGAAUCASUGUAGCCACGAGACUUUGCAACCAGUGUGCUCAGCCUUGCACGUGGGCCUUCCAGAGCUGGUGAGAAGUUCUGAGUGGAGCCACAGGCUUGGCUGUCUUUCCAGCCUGCGGGGUCAACAGUCGGAGACUGCGGAAGGUGAGAGGCAGCAGAGGAGGAAACACAGUAGCGAUAGUGUCUGGAUCAGCAUCACAAAAGAGGAGGGACCAGAUGAGGACACCAGUGGUCUGAAAUCAAGCCAGCCUGGGACGCCCUGAUGGCGCUUGGGCAGCACCGCACGCCGGUGGUUGCAUCCGCCUCCCUCGCACACCCAGAGAGGACCCAAGGAGUCCCCGUAAUGUUUCUGGGCCCCGGGUGGUUGCAGUACGCCAACCUCGGGCACGCCAGUCUCAAGACCCAGCUGUACCUUCUUUGCACAACCCGCUGCUGUUUCAUUUAUGAAUUGGAGGUGCUCUGAUAAACACACUGAAAGGUCAGCUAUUUUCACUGUGGCUUGCAUAAGAACCUCAACAUCCUCUGCUGCAAGAGCCGUGUUAGUAACUUCCUACUGCAGCACUGAAUCACAAUAGCUUCCCACAAUAACCCGCAGUAAAAAUAAACCGGGUAAGGGGAAGUGGACGGCUUCGGUU